GAUGAACGCUGGCGGUAUGCCUAACACAUGCAAGUCGUACGAGAGUUUUUAACUCUAGUGGCGGACGGGUGAGUAACACGUGAGAAUUUGCCUUUAGGAGGGGGAUAACAAUUGGAAACGAAUGCUAAUACCCCAUAUGCUUUUGAGUGAAACGGAUUUAUCCGCCUAGAGAGAAGCUCGCGGCUGAUUAGCUUGUUGGUAAGGUAAAAGCUUACCAAGGCGACGAUCAGUAUCUGGUUUGAGAGGACGAUCAGACACACUGGAACUGAGACACGGUCCAGACUCCUACGGGAGGCAGCAGUGGGGAAUUUUCCGCAAUGGGCGAAAGCCUGACGGAGCAAUACCGCGUGAGGGAAGACUGCCUAUGGGUUGUAAACCUCUUUUUUCUAGGGAGGAAUAAAUGACGUGUACCUGAAGAAUAAGCAUCGGCUAACUCCGUG
rnacentral:rRNA from 1 species